UACAGAGGGUGCGAGCGUUGUUCGGAAUUAUUGGGCGUAAAGGGCGCGUAGGCGGCGCGGUAAUGUCACCUGUGAAAUCUCCUGGCUCAACUGGGAGCUUGCAGGCGAAACUGCCGUGCUGGAGUGUGGGAGAGGUGCGUGGAAUUCCUGGUGUAGCGGUGAAAUGCGUAGAGUAUCGAGAGGAACACCAGAGGCGAAGGCGAGUCACUGGACAGAAUCUGACGCUGAGGCAACGAAAGCCUAGGGGAGCAAACGGG
rnacentral:rRNA from 1 species